UUUAUUCCUUCUAAAAUAAUGGCAUCGCUGUAGUCAUCUGUUUAAAUAAGGCGGUAUCGGGUUAUGAAGUUAUUUGUCAACCGGGUUAAUGUGACUGGGCAAGAUGCCCUUUUUCAGCAGAGACCCGAGAAGAAACACUCCAAAUACAACGUUUGCAAAACAAAUUUUUUACAAUACAGUGAAAAAUUCAACAAAGUAGAUGAAGAAAGGACAGAAAGUUAAGGGAAAAUGCAAGCUAUGCUGAAUGUAGACAACUCUGUUCUUUGUUACAUCAAAGGCUGUGAAAGAAAGUGAGAUGCAGACUGAAAACCUACAGGAAUGAACCACAUUAACACAAACACAGUCCUGCGGAAUAUAUUAAUCCAUGUAGUCUGAACUCACCAUUUCCAAACUGUUGCCAUACUCAGUGGAUAUACAGAUGGACAGUUUGCAUUGAAAAUCAGAGGCUGAAGAUACUUCAACAUCAUCAAAGUCUGGGAGUAAAGUCGAGAAAUAUGAAGCUAAUGAAAUUUGAUUCAGACUGGAGAGAUGUGAUGAAGACUUUGCUACCAGACGUUUACCACAGUUUUCACAUUCUCAGUACAACAAUAUUUUUGAUUUUCAUAUACGGUUUGCUUUUCUUGAGUUAAUAGAAUCAGUGAAUAUUAUUUCUUUUUAAAUGCACAUUAUUACAUUUUUGAAAUUACAAUAUGCUUUGCGUCAUAAUACUUUGUGGGAUCAUCAAGGUGGGGGAGGACCAGGCAGCAGAAAAGCAGGAGCCAUCUUGUGCUUCUGAGGCCAUUUUCCAUGCCAUUGUGUCAAUAUGCCUGACAUGCAUGGGUGUGUGCAAUAUGCAGUUCCGUAAUGUCAGCAGUCGUAACACAGGAGAAGAAUGAAUAUCGAAUAUCACUCUUCUCCUUUAAACUUGUUUUAUGCAUUACAUGGGGGGGGCAAGCCCCCCCCUGAACUUGUGUAUACCAACUCCAAGAUCACCAUACCUCAGAGAAAAGGGAAUAUUAUGAGAAAUGGCUAUCUUAGACUUAGUAUAUGUAAGUCCGUUUUUUUUUACAUUCAGUCUGUGUAUUAUGGGACUCACUGAAAUAGGUCCCAACAUUUCAAGUGGUUACUGCAAUGUAUACAUACAUAAACUUCUUCAGUCAUUAGACACACAGUUGUGUGAGUGGCUAUCAGCAAGUUUUUAGCACAUGGUCUACUUUUGGGUCCAUGACUGUGGGAAAUGUAUUUAUUUCAUGUGGUUUAUGGUUCUUGGUAAAGGUACUGAACAGGUUCAGGACCAUAAAUAUGCUUGCCCUGUCACAUUGGACAUAUCAUCUCAUAUAGAUAUGUUACUUAAUCCUGUCAGUCAGGCAUGUUUGGUCAACAAACCAAAGGAAGAUCUUAGUGGGUAUUCAGACUGUGCAGCCUGAUUUGCUGGAAAUGCCCACUGAUGUUCAUCUGGUCACACUACAAAGUGUGUUUCAAAUUUGGAAGUGGAAUUGGAAAACAGCGACAUUAUUGACACAGAGUUCAUGCAGGCCCAUAGAUUUUUUAAGACUUUUACAUUAAUUAUUUUAGCAUAUGAAGGUAGUGUUUUUGAUCUGCUUUAAUUAGUCAUUGAUAAUGUCAUAUUUAGCUUCAUUACUUGCAGAGCCCUGUGUUAGUAUGGCAACAGCUAUAGCAGUAUUGUAUGACAUUAACAUCACAAACUAAUGCACAAUGCUCUAUUGCCUUUGCGAAAUAAAAACUAGUACAUCGA